rnacentral:rRNA from 1 species
CCUACGGGUGUCUGCAGUGGGGCAUAUUGCACAAUGGGGGAAACCCUGAUGCAGCGACGCCGCGUGAGUGAAGAAGUAUCUCGGUAUGUAAAGCUCUAUCAGCAGGGACGAAAAUGACGGUACCUGAUUAAAAAGCCCCGGCUACCUACGUGCCAGCAGCCGCGGUAAUACGUAGGGGGCAAGCGUUAUCCGGAUUUACUGGGUGUAAAGGGGGCGUAGACGGCAGCACAAGUCUGGAGUGAAAUGCCGGGGAUUAACCCCGGAACUGCUGUGGAAACUGUGCGGCUAGAGUGCAGGAGAGGCAAGUGGAAUGCCUAGUGUAGCGGUGAAAUGCGUAGAUAUUAGGAGGAACACCAGUGGCGAAGGCGGAUUACUGGACUGUAACUGACGUUGAGGCUCGAAAGCGUGGGGAGCAAACAGGAUUAGAUACCCCAGUAGUC